AACGAACGCUGGCGGCAGGCCUAACACAUGCAAGUCGAGCGCGUGCAGCAAUGCACGAGCGGCGCACGGGUGAGUAACGCGUGGGAAUCUGCCCUAUGGUGGGGGACAACCUCGGGAAACUGAGGCUAAUACCGCAUACGUCCUUCGGGAGAAAGACUUCGGUCGCCAUAGGAGGAGCCCGCGUCCGAUUAGCUAGUUGGUGAGGUAACGGCUCACCAAGGCGACGAUCGGUAGCUGGUCUGAGAGGACGGCCAGCCACACUGGGACUGAGACACGGCCCAGACUCCUACGGGAGGCAGCAGUGGGGAAUAUUGGACAAUGGGGGCAACCCUGAUCCAGCCAUGCCGCGUGAGUGAUGAAGGCCUUCGGGUUGUAAAGCUCUUUUGGCGGGGACGAUGAUGACGGUACCCGCAGAAUAAGCCCCGGCUAACUUCGUGCCAGCCGCCGCAGUAACAC
rnacentral:rRNA from 1 species